rnacentral:rRNA from 1 species
GUAGUGGAUCGGUUUGUGUAGUACGUUUGUGAUCCGUCGUUCGGUACAACGAGUUGUGGAAACAAGAUGGAGAUAACGGAUGACGAUCACAGUACGGAAGUAGAGAACCUUCUUCGUGUACGCCGUGCGGUACCUCCCUAGAGUGACUCUAGAGUUGCGUACCGGGAGGAGGUGACCUUUCGAUGUGAACACUCAGGUGGCGACGUCUACUCGAGGACCGUCCUUUUGUAGUCGGGCACGUUGACCUACCCGUAGUACACGUGCCGGUAAGCGGUACCGGCGGCGUACGGAACCCACCACUGGUUGUAGAGGGACGGCCUACGACUGUAGCCACCGGUCGAACCUGCCGCAGGCCCCGAGAUGUACCGCUAGGUUAGCAGCGGCGCCUACAAGGUAACGAACUAGAUGUUGUUUUUAGCUGCCGCAGGGCGCCGAGAUGUACCGCUAGAUUAGCAGCGGCGCCCGUAAAGUAACGAACUAGAUACUUUUCUUAAGCCGCCGUAGGGCGCCGAGAUGUACCGCUAGAUUAGCAGCGGCGCCUGCAAGAUACUGGGUUAGAUGGCUUUUUUCAAACGAUCGUAGAUCUCCGAGAUGUACCGCUAAAUUAGCAGCGGCGUUCACGAAGCACCAGGCCAUGCUCUUUUUCUCCGGAACGGAAGGCGCCGAGAUAUGCCGCUAGAUUAGCAGCGGCGCCUACAGAGUCAUAGUCUAGACUUUUAGUUUUCUUUCUUUUCAAAUAUCGUAGAGCGUCGAGAUGUACCGCUAGUUUAGCAGUGGCGCCUGCGUAGUUUAAGUAGUCGUUUUAGAAGACAUUGUAAUGUAAACCCCACCGUAUGUUUCAAUCCGGGAUCCCCUGUCGUCGCGUCGGUGUGUGUAUGAGUUUUAGUCGUAGUAUUCAGUAGUGUACGCUUCGUAGUCUCCAGUGAUUAUUUCACUUCAUCUAACAUACUACAUUUCCCACUACUCUUAUUAUUUCUGUGUUGGUAGAUGAGGCCUUAUUUGUUCUGCGGUAACUGUUUUAAAACGUCUUCGUACAAAGAGUUAGUUUACUCCCAAGUAGAAGUUCAGGUACAAGUCUUGUGGGAAAAGGCGCUGGCUGCUCCGGCCUUGAGUGUAUGUAAAGGACUGGCUGCUCCGUCCUACGUACUACAAGCACUGGCUGCUCCGGCUUGAUAGGUAAAAUAAAAGAAGAACUCUGAACUAGUGUAGAGUACGAACUAACCACGUACUUAGGUAUUUAAAAACCGUACCGCUCUAAUAACAAAACGAGUCUCACAAACGUAUAAGAAAAACGGAACCUCUGUCUUCGGUACUCAAACUAUUACUACUACUGGCAAACUCCGUCGAAUUAGCCUCCAGCAAGUAUCUAUACUUAGAUACUUACAUUAAUUGAUCUCCAGGAAAGCUCCGGGAUCCUCAGCUCUUAAUACGUUAACAGAAAACAUACAGUCUACGAUAUGGUUUUCGUACAUUUUACUCUAAACAUAUAGGAAUCGUUAUUUCUAGAUGUUUAAAAGAGGCGUAGUAAGACACACGAACAAAAUAAAACAUAAACAUAUGUGAGCAUAUGACCG